rnacentral:tRNA from 1 species
UGGCUCGUAGCAUAAAUAGUAAUGCUAUGGCUUUUAAUCGACAGAGUGCAGGUGCAAGUCCUGUGGAGCCAA